rnacentral:piRNA from 1 species
GCCUCACUUUUGAUUUUUGUGC